GGGACACAGGAUGGCCGAGGAACAAUAACUCUUCAGUGCAGGCGCUGAGUGUCUUCCCGAGAGAGGUAGAGCCAGGAAUGCCAAGCCCAGUGGAUCCUUGGUUGACCACCACAGUCAGUUCCCAAUCUGCCUCAUGUCAGUGCAGCAGAGACCCAGCUGCUGCCCCUUAGAGAGAUUCCUACUGGCAAUUCCAAACUGCAAUCAACUGAGUUUGAAGAUAUUACAAAUAUGCUUCUACAAAGGCAAAGGUUUUCUACAAGGCACCAAGUGCUCUUUAGAAAAGCUGAGAAGCCUUUGUUAAGAGUCUGGCUCCCUGUGUCUGUGCUGUACAGCUGCUAGUGUAACAAACACAUCACCUCCUCCCUGAAAUUUACUUGGACUCUGGCACAACUAUUCAGGAAGAAAUCAUUGAAGCGACACUCUGAGGAAACACAUUCAAAAUCUGAUCUCGCAUUUUGAUGAUCUGGUGGAAGAUUUUCUCUGGCUUUUAAGUAGCUGUGUUCCUAUGAAGCCAGUCAUCUUUUCCUGACUCACCAAUCCCCCAGAGUCCAGCAGAAAGCUGGAGACAGCAGCUUCCAUCCUGGCAGUCCAUCAGUGGAGACACAUCCUCCCCUGCACAGCUGUGCUCACAGGAAUGAACACUAAGGAGAAGCAGCAAGGGUCUAUCUUCCAUGUGAAACCGGACACAUGCAGAUGAAAAGUUUUGUUUUCUCAGUGAGGGAAAAAAAUCCAAAACUAUCAAGUCACAGUGUUGUUAAAAACCUAGUGGGAUUAGGAUGAUACUUUAAUCAAAACUAAAUUCAAAAUGUCCUCGGUCGAAAAUUGUUUAAACUCUAUCUUAUCUUCUUGUAAUAACACUUUGCAAAAUAUAAAACAUUAUAUUCUACAGUUUCUUCAUUUGGACCCAGACUACUUAGAGACUUCUGACUCUGUUACUUAGUUUUUAAGCUUAGGCAAUGAAAUACACUAGACCUGAUUGUUUUCUGUGGACUUGGAAGAAAACUAUAGCACCCUCAUAGAAGUAAAGGGAAAGCUAAAUCAGUUAAUAUAUGAGAAGACUGAAAUAGUACGUGGCUCACCACAAAAGGCCACAGUAAUAGAUGCUGAAAAGGAGUAGAUCAAUAGUAAUAGACACACUCCUUUGUCAUUGUCAUUGUUACUGUGGUUUCCUUUGUCCUGGUCAUCACAUCACCGUCAUCAUCACCAUCAUCAUCGUCAUCAUCAUCAUCAUCAUCAUCUUCACAUCAUAUAUCAGCUUGCUGAAUUUCUACAACAAAACUAUGAAGAACCUUAAUCAGCUUUUCCCACAGUAUAGAUAACAAAAACUAAGAUACAUAUAAUAAAAAAGACUGUGCUUUCCAACUACCUGGAGUGGACCCAUGAGCAGAACGCCACAGUUUUCACCCACAGUGCCCCUCGAAGCCCCUUGCGAGGGAUGGAUGUAGCCCCAUUUGGAGCUCCUUUUCUGCUGCCUGUACCAUUUUCCUCAACAAUGACUGCAAAUCUCAUUUCCUCCCAGAGUCCAUUCUCCUCUCUGCCUGAACUGGCUGCACAUUCAAGGAGCACGCUGUGUUCAUAAUUUCUUCCACCCUAAAUGUUACAUACCAGUCUUUUCACUCACCUCUUUUGACUGCAAAGCAUUUCACACAUCCCUGUUGUCAUUGCUGAAUUCUGUCUAGUAAUUUCCUGCUCUAGCCAGAAGGACCACAUGACCCUUCUCCUGCAGGAACUAACCCCCAGGGCUUCUGUGGGGCUCACUGGCAGGCUCCUUCUCUUUCCUUCCAUGUCUCUUGCCCUUCUUGCCUUCUCUUUCUUUUCCUUUCUCU